AUUGAACGCUGGCGGCAGGCCUAACACAUGCAAGUCGAGCGAGCGGCGGACGGGUGAGGAAUGUCUGGGAAACGGCCUGAGGGAGGGGGAUAACUACUGGAAACGGUCGCUAAUACCGCAUACCAUCAGAAGUGCCCAUAUGGGAUUAGCUAGGUGGUGGGGGAAUGGCUCACCUAGGCGACUAUCCCUAGCUGGUCUGAGAGGAUGACCAGCCACACUGGAACUGAGACACGGUCCAGACUCCUACGGGAGGCAGCAGUGGGGAAUAUUGCACAAUGGGCGCAAGCCUGAUGCAGCCAUGCCGCGUGUAUGAAGAAGGCCUUCGGGUUGUAAAGUACUUUCAGCGGGGAGGCGUUACCCGCAGAAGAAGCACCGGCUAACUCCGUGCCAGCCGCCGCGGUAAUAC
rnacentral:rRNA from 1 species